rnacentral:lncRNA from 1 species
CGAAAAAGAAGCGGUUUUUGUUUGCCUCCAAUACUCUUUUCCUGCUGAUAAUUGCUUUGGAAGCUGCUCGAAGCAAAAACAGAGGCAAAAACAAGUGAAAAAGAAGAAGCCCUACAACGACGUCGUUGAGGAGAACCGAGCUGAGUUCUUGAUCGUGAAGCGGUUUUGAGUCGACGAUAACGACCCGAAGUCAGCGAUUGAUACCGUAAUCGGCGCCAGCGAUUAAUAACCAUAUAAUCCUCUGCUGCCCUUAAUCUUGUUGAGGGGAAGAGAACCACGGCAAAUUACUAAUAAAAAUAAGGCAAGAUGCAGGCCACUGAUUCUCCUCUACCACAUUCGCAUUGUCGUUAAUUUCAACAUGUGUUUUUUUUUUUACAAUUUAUUUGACCAAGACACACAAAUAUAUAUAGAGAGAGAGAGCAUGCACUAGACUUUGAUAUGAUUUUUUCUUGUUAUUACAAGUAUUACUUGAAUACAAGUAAUAUGUCCUGUUCUGAAAACACAUAUUGUCGAAUUAUGUAAUAUUCAUUUGGUUCGUAUCUUAUAAUUUCUCUAGUUUAUUCAAUCUGAUUUGCUGACACUUAUGCCC